AUGCAAAUGAUGGUUGUUCCGGAUGUGGUAGUCGUGGAAGGAGGAGAUGGCUUGCGGCCUGUGGGUAGCACACAGAGGAUGAGGCGGCGUGAGGUCGACACGGCCCUGCAGCUAGCUGCCCCGUUCAGAUCUGACCACACAACCAUGAACCAGCAAGGGAGAGAACAUGAUGGUGGAGAAGAUCUAGGGUCCUGUGUGGCUUGGAUGGGCGUACAAGAGCGCGUUGGUGGGACGGGAGAAGGAGGGGGUUUGAGCAGCAGUGACGGGCCAGUCGAGACUCGAGAGCUCCAGCAAGAAGAACAAUAG
rnacentral:rRNA from 1 species